UGCAGUCGAACGAAGUAGCAAUACUUAGUGGCAAACGGGUGAGUAUAAUGUGGGAAUCUGCCCAUUGGUUUGGAAUAACACGAGGAAACUUGUGCUAAUACCAGAUAAGCCUUCACGGGGAAAGCUUUAGCGCCAAUGGAUGAGCCCGCACUUGAUUAGCUAGUUGGUAAGGUAAAAGCUUACCAAGGCUACGAUCAAUAGCUGAUCUGAGAGGAUGAUCAGCCACAUUGGGACUGAGACACGGCCCAAACUCCUACGGGAGGCAGCAGUAGGGAAUCUUGCACAAUGGGGGAAACCCUGAUGCAGCGAUGCCGCGUGAGUGAAGAAGGCCUUUGGGUUGUAAAGCUCUUUCGUCGGGGAAGAAAAUGACUGUACCCGAAUAAGAAGGUCCGGCUAACUUCGUGCCAGCAGCCGCGGUAAUACGAAGGGACCUAGCGUAGUUCGGAAUUACUGGGCUUAAAGAGCUCGUAGGUGGUUAGAAAAGUUGGUGGUGAAAUCCCAAGGCUUAACCUUGGAACUGCCACCAAAACUUUUUAACUAGAGUAUGAUAGAGGUAAGCGGAAUUUCUAGUGUAGAGGUGAAAUUCGUAGAUAUUAGAAAGAACACCAAUUGCGAAGGCAGUUUACUGGAUCAUUACUGACACUGAGGAGCGAAAGCAUGGGUAGCGAAGAGGAUUAGAUACCCUCGUAGUCCAUGCUGUAAACGAUGUGUGCUA
rnacentral:rRNA from 1 species